GCUCUUGCACUUCUCAGUGAGUAGGAGGUUUGUGGUCCUUUGCUGGCACCCGUGAUUGGCAUCGUCUAAUGAAGUUUGACUGUUGAAUAGGAGGUGGAGCUGGUUGUGAUACAAUUUGGGUGGUUCCCUACAUUUCACAAUCAAUAAAAUUAAUCAUCAUCAAAUACUAACAAAUAACCUUGAUGAAAGAGACAAUGAACUAAUGAAAAUAAUAAUAUAAAGGGAUUAGUCUAACAUCCGGCAUCCAUCUAACAAUGAAUUCUGACUGCAUUCUUGGUGGAGGUGGGGGUGG
rnacentral:lncRNA from 1 species